CCUACGGGAGGCAGCAGUGGGGAAUAUUGCACAAUGGGCGCAAGCCUGAUGCAGCGACGCCGCGUGAGGGAUGACGGCCUUCGGGUUGUAAACCUCUUUCAGUAGGGAAGGAGCGAAAGUGACGGUACCUGCAGAAGAAGCGCCGGCUAACUACGUGCCAGCAGCCGCGGUAAUACGUAGGGCGCAAGCGUUAUCCGGAAUUAUUGGGCGUAAAGAGCUCGUAGGCGGUUUGUCGCGUCUGCCGUGAAAGUCCGGGGCUCAACUCCGGAUCUGCGGUGGGUACGGGCAGACUAGAGUGAUGUAGGGGAGACUGGAAUUCCUGGUGUAGCGGUGAAAUGCGCAGAUAUCAGGAGGAACACCGAUGGCGAAGGCAGGUCUCUGGGCAUUAACUGACGCUGAGGAGCGAAAGCAUGGGGAGCGAACAGGAUUAGAUACCCUGGUAGUCCAUGCCGUAAACGUUGGGCACUAGGUGUGGGGGACAUUCCACGUUUUCCGCGCCGUAGCUAACGCAUAAGUGCCCGCCUGGGGNGACGCGCGAGAACGUAACUACAANAGUAGUUGACGCGNGAGACGNGCGACGGCGACGACGAGGGAGGAGG
rnacentral:rRNA from 1 species